GAGGAUUUUUGGGACAGAGGCUUUAAACUACAGCCAGUAUUAGUAGCUAGUUCCGCAUGUUUUCACCACGCCCAUAUGAGGCGGGAUCUUACUCAUAGAAUGUAAAGAUAGUGUCAGCCAUCUUUAAGCUAAGCUAACAGGCUCUUGCUCUGUAAAACUUUGUAUAAUAGUCUAAUCACGAUGGCGGAAGAAAGUUUUGAAGUAAUGACAGAAGGGGAUUUCAAAGAUCUUUUGUGUGAAUCGGAUGCUCGCGGCUACCUAUACGAGCCGCAAUACAGCGACGAACAGUUGCGGGAGAUGGAGGAACAAGAGGCGGCCGGAGCAGCUGCUGCAGCAGGGGAGCAAGACCUGCUUGGCGGUCAGGAGGAAGAGCCCGGCCAGACUCGAGCUGGGGUGAACUGGUGGUGUCAGUGCUCUCGCUGUGCGUCUAUGCAAACAGAUAGAGAGUCCUGUUGCUGUCGCGAAUUUCAGCGAUGCCAUUUUCUUCUGCAUGAGAUCGCUGAAUCCGCUGAUGAAACUGCACCGCUAGCAUGUGUAACUGAGCACCCAAGUUUUGUACCACACAUGGACAGGGGGGUCCUGGAAACUUAUUUCAGGAUCCCAAAGAUAAAUUGGAAACGCCAGCCAAAGCCUGCAGGGACAAAUGGACGGCUUAGUGUAAAAAAGCGAUAUAAAGGACAAAUGGGAAUUCAAUUUUACAAUGGUGAUUCAUCGAAACGGUUGUUGUCUGGAUCGUGUUUGAGUCCCAGAUUGGAGGUGUCUUUUGUCUUUUCUGGUGUUUCCGUCGUAACGGUUAGUUUGAGCAAUGGAGGAGUCAGGAGACAGCGAAGCAGGUUUGAGACUGACACACGACCACACCCCCCCCCCAUGCCACAUGCCCCCACCGCUGACUCAGGCCAGGGCAACAUCCGGCCUGCCUACUCACCCCCCCAUUUCUGGAGAGAAAGUCAGCCACAACCAUCGGCCUGUGAAUUUGACCCAACCUUGAAUUUAAAGGGCUGGAGAGCCAGAUACCAACGGGUGAUCCAUGCGUUAGUAUCCUUCAUGCGGUGGAGCCACUGCAGAGGGGCAUGAUUGGAACAGAGGGUGAAGGCCCACCCCAUCAGCAGAUUUGACAGCAGAUUUGAUGACUGAUCAUCCCAGAAGCACCAGGCUUCUGGUCUUACCUCGAAAAUUGAGAGAGAAGAGCCAAACUGCUUUCAGGGCCAGGAGUGACUCGACUGAGAUCAGAAAGAACCCGGUGGCAGUAAAAGCAUCUCGGUCAAAGCUGGCCAGGGAAGAGUUGCUGAGACGUUCCUGCAAAAGAUCAGGCCGGGGGAUUACGUGGUAAUUCGUGACCUGAGAAGGAAGAACUGGAGGGCAAAACGUUGGCGAGGACCUAACCAAGUCUUGCUGACAACACACAACAGAACUUACGAAUCAUGUUUUUCAAGGUCUUAUUUAAUCGUUCAAUCAGCCCAUUGGUCUGCGGGUGGUAGACGCUGGUACGAAUCGACUUAAUGCCUAAUAAUUCAUAUAGUUCACAAAGUGUACAUGACAUGAACGUUGUGCCUUGAUCCGUGAGGAUUUCCUUUGGAAUCCCCACUCGGGAGUGUCUCCGCAACACUGCGUGCUGAGAUGUUGCGUAGAGGCUCUGCUUCCGGAUAUCGCAUUGCAUAGUCCACCAGAACUAACACAAAGCGAUGCCCGGGUGCAGUCUUUUCUAAUGGCCCGACAAGCUCCAUUCCAAUUCUAUCGAAGGGGAUCUCGAUCAACGGCAGCGGGCGCAAUGGCGCUUUUGGGGUGGCCGGUGGGUUCACCAACUGACAUUCCCAGCAUGCCGCACACCACUUGCGAACGUCCCCGUGAAUGCCCGGCCAAAAGAAACCGGCCAUUAUACGGUUCAAAGACAUUUCGUGACCUAAGUGGCCGGCGAUUGGAUUAUAGUGAGCCACCUGGAAGAGUGUUUCCCUACAGCUCUUCGGUACUAACAGCUGAGUUGUUACCUCUUUGGUUUGAGUGUCCUGCGUCACUCGAUACAACUGCUCCUUGAUAAUAGAAAAGUACGGGUAUGUGGGCUGGAGAUGUUGACCAUCAAUUACUUUCACUUGGUCGAAGGCAUGCCUAAGGGACUCGUCAUGCAACUGCUCCAGAGGGAAAUCCCCCUAAGGGAACCGGCACCGCCGGCACCGCCUCCCCAGCCAUAGUAUCACACGCCAUACCCCACGCCACCACUCUGCAGGACCCAUCCACACACAUUACCCUCAGUAAAAAAAAAAAAAAGACGGGCCAAUUGGUUCCCAGGAUUAGUGGAUGGGUGAGGCAGGAAUUAACCACGGCCUCGACUCUAUGCCUUUUCCCCCUGAAUCGUAUCUCAACGGUAACCACUGGAUACUUGUGAAUGUCCCCAUGCCAAUCUGGGUGGAAUAACGGAGAGAGACAGGGGGGUUUGAAGGGGCAGAGAAGGGGAAGGGUCCUCUGGACCGGGGUCGGGGUCUGGGCGGGCCUCCCCACCUAUGAGGAGCCUGAAUUGGGUGGGAGUGAGGGGAACGGGGAGAAGGGGAGGGAACAGCAGACACAGGGGGUGGAGAGAGAGAGAGAAGAUACUGCCUCGCCGCCUCCUGGGAACGCCGCCAUGUAGUCCUCUGCCAGCUGGACGGCUUCAUCCAGUGACGCCGGGCGGUGGCGCUGGACCCACUCCAACAUGCCUCGGGGAAGUUGAGAGAUGAACUGCUCCAGUACCACCAUGUCGACCACUUCCACAACAUCACGGGUUCCCCCCACCAACAGCCAUUUCCAGCAGGCAUCACGGAGCUGCUGCACAAACGCAAAUGGGCGGUCGUCCUUCCCGAAGCUCAACGAGCGGAAUAGCUGCCGACUCUGCUCCAGGGUCCGACCGACCCGUUGCUGGAUGACCUUCUUAAGGUGGUUAUAGUCCAGGAUGCUGGCGGGAAGUUGUUGUGCCCGCCAGCUGCGCCUCCCCGGAAAGCAGGGGCAAUAGGUGCGCUGCCCACUGAUCGGGAGGCCACCUCCAUAUCUCCGCAGUUUUCUCGAAUAGGUCGAGGAAGGCCUCCAAAUCAUCGCUUGGCCCAAUUUUCACGAGGGCCAGCGGUGGGGCGGGCUCCGAGGAGGAUGCAGCACCAGCCCCCUCCCUGGCGAUCAGGCUCUGCAAUGCUUGCCGGUCCUCGGCUUGUGCCUGGAGCAAGGCUUGAAAGCGUUGUUCUUGCUCCCGGCGAACCUCCAAGAGGGCAUGGUGUUUUGUCUGCUGGAUGUUGGUGAGGGCGUUGAUGACUUCGGCCAGCGGUGAAGACACCAUAGCGGCAUUCUCCUCCAAACCUGGGUUUUGGCACCACUGUAAACAGGUUCAUUUGAGCAAUGGAGGAGUCAGGCGACAGCUAAGCAGGUUUGAGGUUAGUAAUUUUAAUUUCUCUCUGGUACAUACGACGGUAACUGUCGUUGAAAUGAAAACAUAAAUACAAAAAUAGCACACUCCUUCUGUCAUGCUUUCUGGAUACACUCUCUCUCCCUCUCUCUACAAACCAGGUAACAAGCCUUACCACUCUCUCUCUCUCCCGCAGACCGAGACACGACCACGCCCCCCCAUGCCACAAUUAUGUUUCGUGGUUGAUAUUUAUCGAGAAACUAGUUAGUGGUUACUGUAAAAAUUACCGUGCGAUUUGUGUGCAAACAAUGUAAUUUAGCUGUGUGAACACUUUCCUGGUUUUACCACCAUAUCAAAAUACAUAGGAACCUGACUAAUUCUAGAUUUGCCAACAUGACCUUGCAGUUUUCAUCUAUGAUUACCACAAUGACAUACUUCAGAGAGAGGGAGGAUUCACUCUUUCUUUUGGCUGAUGUAAGUAUUCAUGUUAAUUUGAACAGCUGUUUCUAGAGAAUAUUGAUUAGGAUCAUAGUUUGACAUUUCAAAUUUAUUCCAUGUGUCAUGCAUUUGAGGGUCCAUUUUAUUUGCAUCAUUCAAAAAUAAAUCUUUACAGGUAAUAAGCCUGUAAUAGAAUUUAACUUUAAAUUGCAAGAUACAGUAGGCAGACAUACUUGAGCUGGUCAAGGGGUUGUAUCACAAGAUAUAACACAUAGUGACAUAUAAGCAUAACCUUUAGGAGCCUAUUAGAAAGUAUUGUGAAGAAAGACACAAGUAUGUUCUCUAUAUAUUUAAUGAAUUUUUUCCUACUUUGUUAAUUGAUGCACUUAGGUCACUGCAACUCCAGCAGACGUAGAGAGAAGCUUCACUGUUCCCAGCAUCCCAAGGUGAUUGCACUUGAAGAUUCUGUUCUCCAAGCAAAAACAUGGAUGCUAACUAUGGAGGGCAGAGUCAUCAUCCAGCUGCAGGAGCUAACAGAUUUUACAUCAGCAUUAGCUGUCCUGUUUGGCUGCUACUAUGUAUUCAAUGGUAGUACCAGGAAGACGCGGCCAGUACACUGGAGUUUAUUCAGAGGUUCAUUCUGAGAAUCAACCCUGAUAGCACCAAAUGCCAAUCAAGUCACACAUCAGCCAAAAAUAUGGAAAGAGGAUGCAAAGGAAAAGCAUUAGUCUGAAUCUCCCUGUGGCAUCUCUCAGCAGAGAUUGUACUUUUGUACAAACUGAUGUUUUUAUUGCAUUUUAUUAUGACUUGUUUCACAAAUGUGUAUGUUUUAGCCAUGUUACAUUACAGAUACCUAGGAACUUGUUUUACUAAGUAAAUGUUCAACAAAGACAAUAAAUGUAUA